ACGCACGCUGGCGGCGUGCUUAACACAUGCAAGUCGAACGGUGAAGCGCCUUCCUUUUUGGUGGGUGUGGAUGAGUGGCGAACGGGUGAGUAACACGUGAGUAACCUGCCCCCUUCUUCUGGAUAACCGCAUGAAAGUGUGGCUAAUACGGGAUAUUCUGGGUCUGUCGCAUGAUGGGUCUGGGAAAGAUAUUGUUUCGGUGGGGGAUGGGCUCGCGGCCUAUCAGCUUGUUGGUGGGGUGAUGGCCUACCAAGGCGGUGACGGGUAGCCGGCCUGAGAGGGUGGACGGUCACACUGGGACUGAGACACGGCCCAGACUCCUACGGGAGGCAGCAGUGGGGAAUAUUGCACAAUGGGCGCAAGCCUGAUGCAGCGACGCCGCGUGAGGGAUGGAGGCCUGCGGGUUGUGAACCUCUUUCGCCAGUGAAGCAGGCCUGCCUCGUUUGUGGGUGGGUUGACGGUAGCUGGAGAAGAAGCGCCGGCUAACUACGUG
rnacentral:rRNA from 1 species